rnacentral:rRNA from 1 species
UACGGGGGGGGCAAGCGUUGUUCGGAAUUACUGGGCGUAAAGGGUGCGUAGGCGGCUUGUCACGUCGGGUGUGAAAGCCCGGGGCUUAACCCCGGGUCUGCAUUCGAUACGGGCUAGCUAGAGUGUGGUAGGGGAGAUCGGAAUCCCUGGUGUAGCGGUGAAAUGCGCAGAUAUCAGGAGGAACACCGGUGGCGAAGGCGGAUCUCUGGGCCAUAACUGACGCUGAGGAGCGAAAGCAUGGGGAGCGAACAGG